ensembl:lncRNA
CCCCGCUCAGGUGUCACUGUUGCUGGCAGCCCGGGAUUAGGGAAGGAGAAUGGGCGGGGGGUCGCGGCUGGGAGGAGAGAGGCCCUGCCAUGGCACCCUCCCAGCCCCAUUUGGCCUUCUUCCCUGGACCCCGCACACACACCCCACGCCGCUUUGGCAACCGUGCCUUGCCGGCUUGGGUUAAGCCGCAGUCUUUGGUGGAGGGGCCGCUUCGAGCGUCUCGGGCCAGGGACGUGGCGGAGAGUGCGGGGCACGGGAGCGGGCUGCCCACUGAGGAUGGGGACGGGAGGACACGCGACCCCGGCCAACUCUUGAGUUACCUAGGUUAGCCCUAGGCGGGGAAAGGGAGGGAAGAGAACAACGGAGAGGGUCGCCUUUUUCACUGUUGACACUGCACACCCAGUGACUGGUCGGGACUGGUGACACAACAUCCGCCUCCCCAGCUCCAGUCCAUCAUCCGAUACCCACUUGGUGCUCCUAAUACCUGCAGGGCACUGCAGCCCAAGGCGGGUCCCCAUUCUGGUAUCUUCCUGGUUGGAAGGAGUGUGAAGGAGAGAAUGGGAAGCUAAAGAGUGGCUGUGACCCAAAUGUUCCCUUCUGGACUGCUAAUGAGGAGCAGAUUUCCCUCAGCAAGAAGGUCACCUCGCCACAGCCCAUCUCCCCAACCAACCUCAGCCCCAAGGACCGAGGACCGGCAAAGGUCGGGGACAAGGAUUAACGUUCAAACUCGAAAAGAAGUUUUAAAAAAUUGGCUGAUGACAUGAGUGUGGCUUCAGCAGUAUGGUCUGCAAGGAAUAGAAACUCACAGUUGGAGGUUAGGUGAGCCUCCUGGAGGCCUUUUUAGCCAAAGGAUUUGUCCCUGGCUCAGGGAGACUGCCACUAAGUCCAAAUUCUUCUGCCCAAUUCACAACUCUAAGAUUGUUAUGCGGUAUUUAAGCAAACAAUACAUUCAAUCAAUAUGAAUCCUGCUCUUUUUAUAUGCCAGACACUGUGAUAGGUAAUGAAAAGGGCCCUUGCAGGUAAUGAAGCCUAGAACUGCCAUGAAAAUAUGAGUUCUGAGAGAACAGGGUAUUGCCUCAAGAAGGAGUUGUUGAAAACAGCCUCUUGAGCACAGGCAGAGCUAGUUGCUAAGGCAGAUUUGGGAAGUUGGCCCCUAGCCAGAUGGCACAGAGCAAGGCAAGGAUGCCAAGACCUGUAGGUGAAGAAGAGGGCCUGCUUGAGGAAAGAUCAGGAAACCAUGUCCAGGGAUGCUUGCUUCUAACUCCUCAAUGUUCUUUCCCGCAUACUGCAAGCAGAGAUACAAUUCCCACCGAUAUUUGGACUCACUUUUCAGAUCCUGGAAAAAAAAACUUAGUACCAAGCUCAGGGGCUUAAACUGUCAGCACCAUAGAAUAGUUUUAUGAUGCAGAUAGGAAAUAAAGGCACACCUUUCAGGCACACCCUUCAGUCCGCUACAAGUCUAGAACACCUCCUAGCUGAAAUAUGUGUGGGAAAAAAUGUUCUGAAUCAUAAUCACUUUACAACACAUCUGAUUAUCAUCAGAUGCCUUUAAUGCAUGUGUCUGGUUCCAUACUGUUGCAACACAGACACAUCUUCCUAGUGAAAAUUGGACCCUACACCAAGGAAAACUAGACAGAAGCUUAUUAACUAGAGACCAAUUAUGUCCACAUAGCAG